AUUAAUGGAUUUAGAGAGUGAAGCCAGGGCAGGAUUAGGAUUGUAGCUGGCUGGCUUCAAGUCUAGCAUGUGCACGUCCCAUCUUCCUUGGUCAAUCUCUCACAUUUUCAUAUCACACCUUGUGCACCUUUCGUAGGUCCUCGAACAGAGGAUCUAUGUUUUUUUGAUUAUCAUCACACACCUAUUCGUAUGUCCAAAGAAUGUGUAUGUUAAAUGUAUACAACUUUCAGCAAUGGAUCUCUUGGCUCUCGCAUCGAUGAAGAACGCAGCGAAUUGCGAUAAGUAAUGUGAAUUGCAGAUUUUCAGUGAAUCAUCGAAUCUUUGAACGCACCUUGCGCUCCUUGGUAUUCCGAGGAGCAUGCCUGUUUGAGUGUCAUCGAAUUCUCAACCACAACUUGAUUGAUGUGGCUUGGAUGUUGGGGGCUUGCUGGCAUCGAAGAGAUAGUCAGCUCUCCUGAAAUGCAUUAGCAAAAAGGGUCGGCAAGUCUGGACAAAUGCAUAUGGCCUUUCGACGUGAUAAUGAUCGUCGUGGUCAAAGUUGUCUGGUUUGAAUUUGUUGGAUCCUCCUAUUUGCUUCCAAUUGAAUGUCAAUCUUCUGACUGA
rnacentral:rRNA from 1 species